UACGUAGGGUCCAAGCGUUAUCCGGAAUCACUGGGCGUAAAGCGCGUGUAGGCGGUCCGGUAAGUCCGCUGUGAAAGUCGGGGGCUCAACCCUCGGAUGCCGGUGGAUACUGUCGGGCUUGAGUACGGAAGAGGCGAGUGGAAUUCCUGGUGUAGCGGUGAAAUGCGCAGAUAUCAGGAGGAACACCAAUUGCGAAGGCAGCUCGCUGGGACGUUACUGACGCUGAGACGCGAAAGCGUGGGGAGCAAACAGG
rnacentral:rRNA from 1 species